rnacentral:rRNA from 1 species
GGUAUUUUGACUAUACAAAGGUAUUGAAAUAAGACUUUAAUUGAGUGCUAAGAGAAUGGAAUUUCAUAAAAUUUCUUUUUUAAUUUUAAAAAUUGAAAUUAAUUUUAUAUGUGAAGAAACAAUAAUAAAAAUUAAGGACAAGAAGACCCUAAGAAUUUUAAAGAUUUCAAUAAAUUUUUGUAUUUUAUUGAAAUCUUUUAAUUGGGGCGAUUAUUAAAUAUUAAAAACUUUAAUUUUUUUAAAAAAGAACCAAUAAUAUUGGUUAUUUGAAAAAAUACUCUAGGGAUAACAGCGUAAUAAUUUUUGAUAGUUCUUAUAGACAAAAUAGUUUGCGACCUCGAUGUUGGAUUAGGAUUCUUUUUUAAUGAAGAAGUUAAAAAAAGAAGUUUGUUCAACUUUUAAAAUCCU